rnacentral:lncRNA from 1 species
AAAUAAUACUUUAACUAUUAUAUAUUUGGCAAUUGCAAAUCUGGAAGUUAAUUGAAUAUAAUCAAACAUUAAUAUAUGCUUAGAGUAAUCAGAACAACAUAUUCUUACAACAACUUUAAUAAUACAUACUAAUUUUUCUUAUUAUAUAAUAAUAUAUAGUGGAUAUUACAAUCCCUUUUCGAGAUAUAUUCAUUAACGUCUAUGUUUUUGAAAAUUUGAACAUAAUUUAACAUUAAUACAUAAUUAAAAAAACAAACAUUUGUCUUACUAAUGUCACCUUCAAAAUUAAUAAUUAUCUAUUUUUCAUUCUUUUUUUUACAAAU